rnacentral:lncRNA from 1 species
CUGGUCCAUAAGCUUGCUAACCCCUAGGACAACUUAGAAAUCUCCACGUUACAGAUGAGGAAACAGAGGCACAGAGAGGUUAAGUGACUUGCCCGAAGUCACACAGCUGGUGAGUCCAAGGGACCAGAUUCAAAUCCAGGUCUUUCUGACUCCAAAUCCAUGUUCUUCUCAGAAUCCCAGACUCUGCAACAUCCUUAAGGGUUAAGAAACGCUUAUAGUACCUGGAAGGAGCAAAGAAGUCAAAGUGCAGAGUCUGAGCCCCAUCUGGAUGGUUUGAAAUGGCUCAGCUCCUAAUCACACAUGGGAGAGUGUGGAUGUUUGGACCAAGCGACCCCUACUGAGAGGAAGUAACUGCCAGGAAGGGCGGUCACUAGGCAAAGUGCACACGUGAGAGGUGGAAUGGAGGGGCCGUGGUCCACUGUCACCUCCCAGAGGCAGAGCCAGCUUCUGAGAUCAAGGACAGCAUGGACGAGGGCAGAGGUGGGUGAGGGGGGACUGGCUCCUUUGCUGGAGGGGCACUGAACAUGAAUAAAAGGCCUCUAACCACCUCGCCCCCAGCUCAGGCCAGUCCAGCUGGCAGCCAUGACCAUCAGGGCCUCCGAUCCCGCUUCCUCCCACGUCUUCUCCCGGGAUCCUAACAAGCAGCGUAUUUAUACAUGACGUUUAAAAAUGGCUCCACGAACGCCGCCCCCUUUGAGCCACCUUUCUCCCUCCCAUCCAGCCGCCUUCCCCACAUUGUUCGAGCUAUUUUCCUCCAAGUUGCCACACGCUCAGAGAACUGGGAUGGGCUGGCUGGCUCAGAGGACAAGGAGACCAGCCACGGAUGGCCCCGCUUUGAGCUGUUCUGCAGCAGCGAAGAAGCAGGAAGAGGAAGAAAAAGUCAGCGUCCGUUAAGAUUGAGUGUGGGUCCUGAAGAAUGAGUUAUAAAACGUACACAUGAUUGGCUCGUACUCAGGCCCAGAGAGCUCCAGACUCAGGAUGAAAGAAAGGAAGGCCGGGAGGGAGGAGGAAGGAAGAGGGGACGGUGGGGUGGAGCGGGAGGCAUCGUGCUUAGUAUUUGCUGUCUUGUUUUCAAGAGAGCCAUUUUCAAGUGGACCUCCUGGAAGCACUUUGAAGAGAAGUCACUGACCCUUCCAGCCAGCCUGGAUGCUGUCCCUGACAUGCACACCCGUAGGUGGCUAGGCUGUAGGAUGCUGUGAGAGUGGGCACCGAGCAGCCACUUUGACAUCAAGGAGAGGUGAGGACAGCAGGAUCCCACAGGAGCCCCAGGCCCUAAUCUAAGAAGAAGUCUCGCCCCCCCCAACUUUGAGGUCCUGGUGUGGGGUUGGCCAGGGGUGAGGACAACAGCCUGUGGCAGGUUGUCACAUCGUCUGAGGAAGCUGAGCCCCAAAUACCCCCAUCCAGAGCUGGAGCAGAUGACAGCCAGUGGCGAGGAGACAGGGCUAGGAGCAUCCCCACCCAAAGAUAUGUCUCCCAGCCUCCUCCAUAGCAUCCCGCCCCCCCCCCNNNNNNNNNNNNNNNNNNNNUUCCCCCCCCCCCCCCCCCAUCUACCUCCACCGCUGGGCUUGUCCGCUAAACCAGCUGGGUCAUCCAGGAAUACUGGACUCGUCUCAGC